UACGGGGGGGAGCAAGCGUUGUUCGGAUUUACUGGGCGUAAAGGGCGCGUAGGCGGCGCAACAAGUCACUUGUGAAAUCUCCGGGCUUAACCCGGAGCGGUCAAGUGAUACUGUCGUGCUAGAGUCCGGAAGAGGCGAGUGGAAUUCCUGGUGUAGCGGUGAAAUGCGCAGAUAUCAGGAGGAACACCGAUGGCGAAGGCAGCUCGCUGGGACGGUACUGACGCUGAGGCGCGAAAGCCGUGGGGGAGCAAACAGG
rnacentral:rRNA from 1 species